ACAGCCUUUUUAUUUCCCUUGAGUGGCACUGUCAUGUCAGUAUUUGUCAAUUUUCAACCCAAUAACAAUAUAAAUGUUCUUAACGUAACUUUUUGAAAGUGACCAAAGACUUUCCUACAAAAUGUGUGUUGGAUGAUUUAAUGUUUGCGGCCAUGUUGAAAAGCCGUUUCAUUGGCUGCAGUGGGAUGAUAGUUGACUAGGGGGUAGAAAACACGAAUCAGGUAGCAUAUAGGUUAAGGAAAGUAUUGAUCUUGUCGAUAAAAGUCUCAGAACCUGAUGUAGCAAAUAUGAUACAAAUGGUUUUAAAGGGUUUAAGAAUCACUGAGUAAAUGAUUCAUCAGCACAUCCAGAGGUGACGAUUCUGUCGGAAGCGAAAUGAUAAAAUGACGAAGCCUGAUUUAACAAAAGCAGAUGUUUAUUUUAAGGGAAACAUUUGGUGAAAUGUCUCUGUGCAUUUGUGUUGCCAAGUUUGAUUUUACUGAGAGAAGCUGCAUGUUUUUCAUUUUUGCACAUUUUAAUUUACUUCCAGAACUGAACCAUCGACGCCCUUCGCUCCCUUUUCCCCUCAUUCAUGUGUACGACGUCACAUAAUCAGAUUGGUCACUGUUGAGCACAAAUGAGGAUUCAUGUUGAAGUCAUGAGUCCGAACGCUCCAUGUGUAAGGGUCAGCAUAUUUUACACCUGCUGUACCAGUGAGUCCUACACAGCUUUGUAAUAAAAGGAUUUGAUUCAAAGCUCCAGAGCUGAA